rnacentral:lncRNA from 1 species
CUGUGAGAGCAGCUCCAGCCCCAAAACCCAUUCCAUUGAAAGUUCACUGGCCUUCAUGAUCUAUGAGAAGGAAUUUCUUAUUUGGUGAAUUAUUGCCCUAAUUAAUUUGAUUCAUGGAGCACACACCUUUGCAAUUCUCUCCUCUGCUACCCACUUUCUCUGUGAAAGAUGCAGUCAAGACACUAAAGUCUACAAGGACUCUUAGCUUUGAACCAGAAGAUUAGUUUCUCAGAAUAAUUCAACCUCUCACUAUUGUUCAGUAUUCUUGAGCCUCAUUUUACUUCUCUGUAAAAUGGGGAGAGCAUAAUUGCCUUGACUUUUAUCCCUUCCUUAGCAUACAAGAAAUAUUGAAUGCUUUGUAAACUAUCAAGAGCCAUUUUAUGGUAAGUUAUGCUUAUUCAAGCCAUUUUAUUUGUAUUUUAAAAUACUCUUAAAUAUCUUUUGGUUCUAAUUCUUCAGUCACUCAAGUAGUGCUUGUUUCAAAGCAGGGUGUUCCAAACCCAGAGCACACAAUUUGAUUCCUGGAUCAUACCGUCAGGCUCUCUUGACUCUCUGUGACUCUGCUUUCCUCAUCAUUAUUUCACCAAAACCAAGAACUAGGUAAAUGUUUACCCUGAGGCUAAGAGAGGUCUUUAAAAUGACCUUAGUCAUGUGAAUAGACCAGUUGCCACUUACCCCUUAAUAUAAUUAGUUUCCAAAAUGUAAAAUAUUGAGAUAGCAUUGGUUUUUCAUAGGUUUCAGUCAAAGCCAAUGUAGGAGCUUUAAUCAGUAGCAAAAAGAGUUAAGUUGAUAAGUAAGAAGAAAAAAAAUAUCCUCAAUAUGCCCUACCUCACUAUCCACUUAACAGUCAAUUUUGGCAUAAAAGUGUCUCACUGUUUCACUAGAUAGUCUGGUGCUCACCUGUCAGCCAGUUGGCUAACGUCACAUGGUGGAAGAACCUUGUAGUAGAGCAGGUGUUCAUCUGACUAUAGCUCUGAAAGGUGAAUUGGUCAGCUUUGUAUCCUAUAGAAUCUGUAAUUACUACCCCUUGCCACAUGUUUAUAUCCUCUCUGUCCAUCCUCACCUCUUUCAUCUGAUCUUCCUUUUUAAAAAGACAUUUUAAGAUUAUCAUUAAAACACAAAAUGUUGGAUAAGUGAAUUGAUAUUUGGGUAUUUGCCAUCUCAAAAUUAUAUUAAAAAGAGGACUUUAUUUUUAAAAGUUUGAAAAUCCACAUCAAUUGCACAGUCCCACACAGUUUUUUUUCUGUCUCUUCUGAAUGCUGUGGAAAAAUACUUCAUCUUUCUUGGCUAUUGAACCUAUCAAUAUUAACUUAGAGUGCAUCUCUUCUACAGUUCUCUUACAGGUUGCUCAUUUUCAGUGACACCUGCUUUCUAGUUGGAGAAAUUCUUGAAAUCAUGGGUAUCACAUCAAAAUUUCUUUCAGUUAGGAUGACAGAUCCAAUAAACUGCAUGUGUGUGAAGUACAGAUAAAGGUAAUCAGAUCUCAUGCUUCGGGGAAUAAACUGAUUACCUAUGAUGGUCAGGAAGGAAUUUUCUCCAUUAGCAUCCUGCAAAUACACAAGCCCAGCACAGGAUCCUGCAUUCUGCUACUCUAAAGCUUUCUUCUAGAGUUUAAUUAUGUAUGUGGUAUAAAAUCUGAACCAGUGACAUAAUGUGCUGUGUAUAAUGGUUGUCAUACAUGGGUAAGUAUUUAAUAUGCAGCAAAAUAAAUACUGUUAACAUUUGAAACAGAGUUCUAUUUAGAUAACUGAGAUAGUGGUUCAUUAAAGAUAAACUACUUAAGAUCUUUUCAUGUUUCCUCCAGGGAUCUCAAAGUACCUUCCCAAAAUGAAACCAUUAAUCCUCAUGAAUAUUCUGUCACAUAAAUUCUGUUAAAUUUCUCUGGAAAAAAAAAAACAAAAACAAGUCAGUCAAUUUUACUAACCAGUAAGUCUGAAUAGCACCAAGUUUUUAUAGUAGCCUACCAAUCUUUAUUGCCUUGAAAUCUAAUUAGAGAUUUGACUUUUAAGACCAUUAUUCUAGAUGGAAUUCUUUUUCAUCCCUAACUCACUGUCUACAUUCAUCCCUCCAAUAAACAUGUAGUAAGAGUCAACAAUGUGCAAAGUGCUAGAUAUGAAAAGAGAGAUAGGACUUAGGGUCCAGGGCGAGAGAGCUGGGAAGUUCUAAAUACCCUAGUGGGGUCCCUCUUCAUCCGCUGUCUUCUUCAUACUCUGUAGUUGUUCACAUAUAUAAAUCUCAUCUGAUUCAGGAGUUGGCCCUAAGAGCCUAUAGAACAUUCCAAUUCAGUUCACAUUUAGAGAGACUUGGUUAUUUAUGUUCUACCUUAGAAAACCUUUGAAAUAACUUUGUGUUUCUUUUCUUUCUUUUUUUCCCCAAAAACAAGAGGGAAAAUUUAAAAACAAAACAAAACAAACAAACAAAACUGUAAAGGCAGCCCGGGGAUCCCAAGCCUUUUAUUUUUAACUUGCAUUUAUAUUGCUCUUCAGCCUUAUGUCCAUAACUCUUGAAAAAUGUGGAAAUUUUUCUACAUUACCAUGCCUUAAGUUGUGUGUGUGUGAGUGUGUGUGUGUGUGUGUAUGUGUGUUGGCCUUUAUGAAAAACACUCUAAAUUCACAUUUCACAAUUUGUUACCCACCCCACUCCCUCAUAGCUUGUGAUGUUUUUAAAUGCUUAUGAAGUAGCUCAGCCCCAGAAUGAACUUUCUGAAGUCCACACAUGAUCAAUUUCUGUACUCACUUAAUAUCCUUCAGGUGAUUCUUUGGUCAUCUUAGGUUGAAAUACAAAUGCUUUAUCAUUCACAAGGCUUAUCAUGGUCUGCUAUCUCUCUCACUUUCCAACAAUAUCUAUUUCAUUCCCCUAUCCAGAUGUCAGCCAUAUUGCAUAACCCAGAGAAUUUUGAAUACCAUACUUCAGAUUUGGAACUUUCUGCAUAUAUGCAUUGAGUGCUCACUGAAAGAUUUUAAGCAAAGAGGUGAAAUUGUGUGAACUGUGCAUUAGGAAGAUUUCUCUGGAGGAACUUUAUAGCAGGCCCUGUUUAAAAAAAAAAAAAAA